rnacentral:rRNA from 1 species
UACAGAGGGUGCGAGCGUUAAUCGGAAUUCCUGGGCGUAAAGCGCGCGUAGGCGGCUUUGCAAGCCGGAUGUGAAAUCCCCGGGCUUAACCUGGGAACUGCAUUCGGGACUGCAUUGCUAGAGUAUGGGAGAGGGAAGUGGAAUUUCAGGUGUAGCGGUGAAAUGCGUAGAUAUCUGAAGGAACAUCAGUGGCGAAAGCGACUUCCUGGACCAAUACUGACGCUCAUGUGCGAAAGCGUGGGGAGCAAACAGG